AGUAUCUGUAGUAACAAUGGAGGCCCGCCCACCUCCUCUGUGAUUGGCCGGUGACAAUUACGAACCCAGACAAUCCGGGCCAGAGGUUGGACGGGCUGGAUGCACCAGGUGAAGUAGUGGAGCGACACCCAAUGGUGAAACGGUGCAGCUGCAACGCCCGUGAGCUCAUGAUAAUGAGAUUAUAAUUAUGUAGACACUUUGAUCUCUGGAGCAAGGAACCAGAGGUAGCCUGUGGAUCAGUCCGUCCUUCAGCCUUGAGAUGAUGAAACCAGUGCACUGAGCGGGGCUGAAACUUGGGGCCUUGAUGGAUCACCAGCUUAGAUUAGUUUUCAGGCAAGUGCCACAAAACAUCAGUCUUUAUUUCUUUGGGACAAAACCUGACAUUUGAGUGCACUUGACCUACAGAGAGGUACACUCUUUCAUAAUAUGAGCUCACCCUGACAGACACUGAGUAAUCGCUGGUAUUCACUUGGUAUUGUGGGAGAAAAUAAUGGAGAAGAAUGACUUUAGGAGAUCAGAAUACGGGUAUUUCAUCACUGUGAAAUGUUUUCACCAUGAAGUUGAUUACUGUAAGAAAGCGAAAACUCAUUGCUGUAUUUCUCAGGAUUCUGCUCUUACUGCCACUAUAUCACAGCCCAUUUUUCCUCAGAACAAUCUGCUUCAUUCCUCCAACUCGUCUGCAGAAAAAAAAGUGAUUCUAGUCAGCUGCCACUGAAGGGCAGCAUUGCCAAGCCAUAAAUCAACAUGCCAGUGUCCUGAUGAACUUGAACUUAAAAGACAAAACAGAUUCACAUUGGGUGAAUAAUGACGUUUAAAUAAUAACUUUUUAUAUUCUCUAUGUAUAUCUUUAUGUAGCUUCUCUGUGGUCAAUAAUUAUUAUCCACAUAUUAAGCAUCCUCCUUCUCUCUCUCCCGGGAAGCCAUUUCUUCAUUGUUUGAAUAUAAGAUAGUGAAAUCAUAGAGGGAAAGACAUUCAAAGUAACCCUCACAGGGCCUGUGACUGAGGGCUCAGCCUAAGCAUGUUCGCCACGCUUUUCAUCCAAGCAGCAGGCACAAUGACUUUGAGACACGGAUAAUUUGGGACUGGAAUAGUUAGGCAUAUACAUCUCCUAUGAUUUCAACCGAUUUUAAAAUGUUUUAUAGGUUACUAUAUAUGUGAGGAGUGGCUAUACUUUUUAUUUUAUCUUUUUUUUUUCAGUGUUUGUUUUUGUGGAAAGCGGAGGUCAGAGGGCCUUGAGGUAAAGGCCACUUGAUGAGUCAUCUCUAUAUCUGCUGCCUUGUUUGAGACAACACAACUUUAAAGCCUGAGACAAUUAAAAACAGUUUUGUCGUGAUUGUUUUUUUGGCACCGAAAAGAGGAGGAAUAAUUCUUGUAGCAUCCCUCGGGCAUCAAUGCAGCGUUCAUAAAUGGUGUGCCACUCUAUCCUCUCUGAGCUUAUAACAAGAUUUAGAGGCUUUCCCUGCCAGAUGAUGGAGUUUUGCAGGAGGAAUAGGCACUCUUAUAUUUUACCACGGAGAGCUGAGUGGUGGGCUGAGGCUCAUGACUCCAACAAGCUGUUGGAGGACUGUUUGGUCUCGACCAAAUUUUUCCUUUCUCCUACGAAGUGAUAAAAGAGCACAAAUUCAAAUCCACUUUCAAUUGCCAUCAUAUGGAAUCACAUAUGAGCUAAAGUGAUUCAUAGCUAAUAGAACAAUACCAUUACAUAUUACAGUAAAUUGUUUUAUUCCUCUCAACCCCAUACAUUACCUUCUCAGGAGUCAUUGUUUCUGCACAUUGAAUUGUGGAGGUGUAACCUUGGCUAAUUGAUAUGCUGUGGUGUUUGAUUUCCUACCUAUAAAUCUCCUGUAAAUUGGACCACGUCUCCCAUUUCUCUGAACAAUGAUUCAUUCACUCUCAUUGUGGGCGUCUGUCUUAAGAAUCCUUAUCAAGAUCAGAGAGCUCUCUCUCGCUGCCGUUAUUUUUGUACCGUGCUGCUUUUGUUGCCCUUGCCUCUCUCUCUCUCUCUCUCUCUCUCUCCAUCUAUUUGCUGACUGUUGUGUGCAACUCGUUGGGUAAACUUAAUUGAUUUUUUUUAUUCCACACAGAAUUGUUGCAGUUAAGUGGCCUUUUUAGCAUGCAUUGGAUUGUUUUGUGUGUUUUCUCAAGGCAACAGUGUUCAGGGGAAUCGGUAAACAAUAACAUUUUAGAGUUGCUCAUUUACUGUUUUAGUUUUCUUAUUAUUUUUGGGGCAAUUUGCCUUUAUUGAAUAGGAGCAGUAUGGGCAGGAAACCUAGGGUGAGAGAGAGAGGGGUAUGGCAUGUAACAAAGAAUCUCAGUCAGAAAUUAACCUUGAGAGUUGCUUAUAUCCAUAUUAAACAUGAGGGAAUUUAACAAUUGUUUAAGUAAAAGUAAUAGUCAAAGUCAAACGAUUCAUUAUACAGGUUGUUGUAAUAAUUAUCUACAUCCUAUUUUCUAUCUAUUUUUUCUCUGUCUUCAUCAUUCUGAAACCAUAACACAACAAAUGUUCCUGUAUCAUGCCACCUAAAAAGAGGAAAACAUUGUAUGAUGUUAUUAUUUUUAAGUUACAUUUGACAGGGUUGGAAGAAUGUUUAGCUGACAGAUCUGCUACAUGUAAAUCAAUGCCAUAAUAAUACUUCCCCAGUAGAACUUUUGCUCCAUUGAUUUUCCGGUUGAGUCAGACACAAUGAGGGCAAAUGACACAAAAAUACACAAUCACUACGUAGUCUAAAGAUAACCAAUGUAAGUUUAACGUGAAAUUGCAUAGGUGUAACAGUCAAACUGUACUUGAAGUUUGUGCUCACUUUCAUUAAAGUUCCUGUCCCUAAAA